rnacentral:rRNA from 1 species
GACGAACCGUGCGAACGUUGUUCGGAAUCACUGGGCUUAAAGGGCGCGUAGGCGGCGCGUCAAGUCGGGGGUGAAAUCGUCCGGCCUAACCGGACAAGGGCCCCCGAUACUGACACGCUCGAGGGAGGCAGGGGCAGACGGAACUUCCGGUGGAGCGGUGAAAUGCGUUGAUAUCGGAAGGAACGCCGGUGGCGAAAGCGGUCUGCUGGACCUCUACUGACGCUGAGGCGCGAAAGCCAGGGGAGCGAACGGG